AAAACAAGAGUUUCUAGUUCAAUUCAUAUAAAGAAUAUACAUAUCAAAGCCCGUACCUCAGAAAUAAAAAAGGCCCAUGAUGAUAAUGCUUCAUAAUUUUGGGAAAAUGGAGUCAACAAAAGAAUGGUGCAUUGGAUCCUUCAGCCAAAGUUUAGCUAUAUGAUGAUGAGAUGAGGUACGCCUGUGAAUUUCUUCAACAAGCCAAAUGGUUGCUUCAGCCUUACAAGGAUGAAUCACAAUAUCCAAGGGCUUUUGUUCAUCCUCACU
rnacentral:misc_RNA from 1 species